rnacentral:misc_RNA from 1 species
AACGCACAUUGCGCCCGGCAGCAAUCUGCCGGGCAUGCCUGUCCGAGCGUCAUUUCUUCCCUCGAGCGCGGCUAGCCCUACGGGGCCUGCCGUCGCCCGGUGUUGGGGCUCUACGGGUGGGGCUCGUCCCCCCCGCAGUCCCCGAAAUGUAGUGGCGGUCCAGCCGCGGCGCCCCCUGCGUAGUAGAUCCUACAUCUCGCAUCGGGUCCCGGCGAAGGCCAGCCGUCGAACCUUUUAUUUCAUGGUUUGACCUCGGAUCAGGUAGGGUUACCCGCUGAACUUAA